GAUGAACGCUAGCGGCAGGCCUAAUACAUGCAAGUCGGACGGGAUCCAUUGAUAGCUUGCUAUCAAUGGUGAGAGUGGCGCACGGGUGCGUAACGCGUGAGCAACCUGCCUCCAUCAGGGGGAUAGCCUCUCGAAAGAGAGAUUAACACCGCAUAAUAUCAACAGUUCGCAUGUUCAGUUGAUUAAAUAUUUAUAGGAUGGAGAUGGGCUCGCGUGACAUUAGCUAGUUGGUAGGGUAACGGCUGACCAAGGCGACGAUGUCUAGGGGCUCUGAGAGGAGACUCCCCCAAACUGGUACUGAGACACGGAACAGACUCCUACGGGAGGCAGCAGUAAGGAAUAUUAGUCAAUGGGCGGAAGGCUGAACCAGCCAUGCCGCGUGCAGGAUGACUGCCCUAUGGGUUGCAAACUGCUUUUGUCAAGGAAUAAACCUAAAUACGAGUAUUUAGCGGAAUGUACUGGAAGAAUAAGGAUCGGCUAACUCCGU
rnacentral:rRNA from 1 species